AUGCCGAUGGUCGAUUGUAAACCAAACUACCAUCUUUCGGGACUGAAUGGCUUAUUUUUGCCUUGCUGUAAUUUUGAAAUUCAGAGGCUU